UUAAGCGACUAAGCGUACACGGUGGAUGCCCUGGCAGUCAGAGGCGAUGAAGGGCGUGCUAAUCUGCGAUAAGCGCCGGUAAGGUGAUAUGAACCGUUAUAACCGGCGAUACCCGAAUGGGGAAACCCAGUGUGAUUCGUCACACUAUCAUUAACUGAAUCCAUAGGUUAAUGAGGCGAACCGGGGGAACUGAAACAUCUAAGUACCCCGAGGAAAAGAAAUCAACCGAGAUUCCCCCAGUAGCGGCGAGCGAACGGGGAGGAGCCCAGAGCCUGAAUCAGCAUGUGUGUUAGUGGAAGCGUCUGGAAAGGCGCGCGAUACAGGGUGACAGCCCCGUACACAAAAGCGCAUGUGCUGUGAGCUCGAUGAGUAGGGCGGGACACGUGGUAUCCUGUCUGAAUAUGGGGGGACCAUCCUCCAAGGCUAAAUACUCCUGACUGACCGAUAGUGAACCAGUACCGUGAGGGAAAGGCGAAAAGAACCCCGGCGAGGGGAGUGAAAAAGAACCUGAAACCGUGUACGUACAAGCAGUGGGAGCACCCUUCGGGGUGUGACUGCGUACCUUUUGUAUAAUGGGUCAGCGACUUAUANNNNNNNNNNAUCCUUUGCUGAGGAUACGGUUAACGGAGCGAAAGCGACGUUCAACCGCAAAACAAGCAGAGGGGGCUUAGUGGUGGGGUGACUGCGUACCUUUUGUAUAAUGGGUCAGCGACUUAUAUUCUGUAGCAAGGUUAACCGUAUAGGGGAGCCGGAGGGAAACCGAGUCUUAACCGGGCGUUAAGUUGCAGGGUAUAGACCCGAAACCCGGUGAUCUAGCCAUGGGCAGGUUGAAGGUUGGGUAACACUAACUGGAGGACCGAACCGACUAAUGUUGAAAAAUUAGCGGAUGACCUGUGGCUGGGGGUGAAAGGCCAAUCAAACCGGGAGAUAGCUGGUUCUCCCCGAAAGCUAUUUAGGUAGCGCCUCGUGAAUUCAUCUCCGGGGGUAGAGCACUGUUUCGGCUAGGGGGCCAUCCCGGCUUACCAACCCGAUGCAAACUGCGAAUACCGGAGAAUGUUAUCACGGGAGACACACGGCGGGUGCUAACGUCCGUCGUGAAGAGGGAAACAACCCAGACCGCCAGCUAAGGUCCCAAAGUCAUGGUUAAGUGGGAAACGAUGUGGGAAGGCCCAGACAGCCAGGAUGUUGGCUUAGAAGCAGCCAUCAUUUAAAGAAAGCGUAAUAGCUCACUGGUCGAGUCGGCCUGCGCGGAAGAUGUAACGGGGCUAAACCAUGCACCGAAGCUGCGGCAGCGAACGUAUCACCCAAGACAACUUUACGGAGUUGACGAUUGACGGAGCGAAGCGACGUCAAAGCGUUCAUUAAAGUCGAGUUGGCUUAGGGAUACGUUCGUUGGGUAGGGGAGCGUUCUGUAAGCCUGUGAAGGUGUGUCGUGAGGCAUGCUGGAGGUAUCAGAAGUGCGAAUGCUGACAUAAGUAACGAUAAAGCGGGUGAAAAGCCCGCUCGCCGGAAGACCAAGGGUUCCUGUCCAACGUUAAUCGGGGCAGGGUGAGUCGACCCCUAAGGCGAGGCCGAAAGGCGUAGUCGAUGGGAAACGGGUUAAUAUUCCCGUACUUGGUGUUACUGCGAAGGGGGGACGGAGAAGGCUAUGUUGGCCGGGCGACGGUUGUCCCGGUUUAAGCGUGUAGGUGUGUGUUCCAGGUAAAUCCGGUUCACUUUAACACUGAGGCGUGACGACGAGGCACUACGGUGCUGAAGCAACAAAUGCCCUGCUUCCAGGAAAAGCCUCUAAGCAUCAGGUAACAUCAAAUCGUACCCCAAACCGACACAGGUGGUCAGGUAGAGAAUACCAAGGCGCUUGAGAGAACUCGGGUGAAGGAACUAGGCAAAAUGGUGCCGUAACUUCGGGAGAAGGCACGCUGACACGUAGGUGAAGUGAUUUACUCAUGGAGCUGAAGUCAGUCGAAGAUACCAGCUGGCUGCAACUGUUUAUUAAAAACACAGCACUGUGCAAACACGAAAGUGGACGUAUACGGUGUGACGCCUGCCCGGUGCCGGAAGGUUAAUUGAUGGGGUCAGCGCAAGCGAAGCUCCUGAUCGAAGCCCCGGUAAACGGCGGCCGUAACUAUAACGGUCCUAAGGUAGCGAAAUUCCUUGUCGGGUAAGUUCCGACCUGCACGAAUGGCGUAAUGAUGGCCAGGCUGUCUCCACCCGAGACUCAGUGAAAUUGAACUCGCUGUGAAGAUGCAGUGUACCCGCGGCAAGACGGAAAGACCCCGUGAACCUUUACUAUAGCUUGACACUGAACAUUGAGCCUUGAUGUGUAGGAUAGGUGGGAGGCUUUGAAGUGUGGACGCCAGUCUGCAUGGAGCCGACCUUGAAAUACCACCCUUUAAUGUUUGAUGUUCUAACGUGGACCCGUAAUCCGGGUUGCGGACAGUGUCUGGUGGGUAGUUUGACUGGGGCGGUCUCCUCCUAAAGAGUAACGGAGGAGCACGAAGGUUGGCUAAUCCUGGUCGGACAUCAGGAGGUUAGUGCAAUGGCAUAAGCCAGCUUGACUGCGAGCGUGACGGCGCGAGCAGGUGCGAAAGCAGGUCAUAGUGAUCCGGUGGUUCUGAAUGGAAGGGCCAUCGCUCAACGGAUAAAAGGUACUCCGGGGAUAACAGGCUGAUACCGCCCAAGAGGUUCAUAUCGACGGCGGUGUUUGGCACCUCGAUGUCGGCUCAUCACAUCCUGGGGCUGAAGUAGGUCCCAAGGGUAUGGCUGUUCGCCAUUUAAAGUGGUACGCGAGCUGGGUUUAGAACGUCGUGAGACAGUUCGGUCCCUAUCUGCCGUGGGCGCUGGAGAACUGAGGGGGGCUGCUCCUAGUACGAGAGGACCGGAGUGGACGCAUCACUGGUGUUCGGGUUGUCAUGCCAAUGGCACUGCCCGGUAGCUAAAUGCGGAAGAGAUAAGUGCUGAAAGCAUCUAAGCACGAAACUUGCCCCGAGAUGAGUUCUCCCUGAGACUUAGAGUCUCCUGAAGGAACGUUGAAGACGACGACGUUGAUAGGCCGGGUGUGUAAGCGCAGCGAUGCGUUGAGCUAACCGGUACUAAUGAACCGUGAGGCUUAACCUU
rnacentral:rRNA from 1 species